CCUACGGGAGGCAGCAGUGGGGAAUAUUGGGCAAUGGGCGCAAGCCUGACCCAGCAACGCCGCGUGAAGGAAGAAGGCUUUCGGGGUGUAAACUUCUUUUCUCAGGGACGAAGAAAGCGACGGUACCUGAGGAAUAAGUCACGGUUAACUAUGUGCCAGCAGCCGUGGUAAUACGUAGGUGGCAAGCUUUAUCCGGAUUUAUUGGGUGUAAAGGGCGUGUAGGUGGGAGCGCAAGUCAGAUGUGAAAACUCAGCGCUUAACCCUGAGCCUGCAUUUGAAACUGUGUUUCUUGAGUGCUGGGAGGGCAAACGGAAUUCGUGGUGUAGCGGUGAAAUGCGUAGAUAUACGGAGGAACACCAGUGGCGAAGGCGGAUUGCUGGACAGUAACUGACGCUGAGGCGCGAAAGCGUGGGGAGCAAACAGGAUUAGAUACCCCAGUAGUC
rnacentral:rRNA from 1 species